AACGAACGCUGGCGGCAUGCCUAACACAUGCAAGUCGAACGAAGGCUUCGGCCUUAGUGGCGCACGGGUGCGUAACGCGUGGGAAUCUGCCCUUUGGUUCGGAAUAACAGCUGGAAACGGCUGCUAAUACCGGAUGAUGACGAAAGUCCAAAGAUUUAUCGCCAGAGGAUGAGCCCGCGUUGGAUUAGGUAGUUGGUGGGGUAAAGGCCUACCAAGCCGACGAUCCAUAGCUGGUCUGAGAAGAUGAUCAGCCGCAAUGGGAAUGAGACACGGCCCAGAAUGGGAGGGGAGGGAGCGGUGGAGAAUAUAGGGCAAGGGAGGCAAGUCUAGUCAAGCAACGCGGCGUGAGAGAGGAAGGGGCUAGGGUUGUAAAGCUGUUUGUCCCGGGGAGAGAAUGACUGUACCGGGAGAAUAAGCACCGGCUAACUACGUG
rnacentral:rRNA from 1 species